rnacentral:rRNA from 1 species
CGGGACGGGUGAGUAAUGUCUGGGAAACUGCCUGAUGGAGGGGGAUAACUACUGGAAACGGUAGCUAAUACCGCAUAACGUCGCAAGACCAAAGAGGGGGACCUUAGGGCCUCUUGCCAUCGGAUGUGCCCAGAUGGGAUUAGCUAGUAGGUGGGGUAACGGCUCACCUAGGCAACGAUCCCUAGCUGGUCUGAGAGGAUGACCAGCCACACUGGAACUGAGACACGGUCCAG